UCUCAUUUCAUUACCAGAGACCUAGGACAUG
rnacentral:piRNA from 1 species